CGCCUGUUUAUCAAAAACAUGUUCUUUUGUAAUUUAUAUAAGGUUUGACCUGCCCAAUGAUUUUUUAAUGGCCGCAGUAUUUUAACUGUGCUAAGGUAGCAUAAUCAUUUGUCUUUUAAUUGAGGGCUGGAAUGAAAGGUUGGACGAGGUAUUAACUUUCUUUGAUUUAAUCAAUUGAAUUUAAUUUUUAAGUGAAAAGGCUUAAAUUUAUUUGUUGGACGAGAAGACCCUAUAGAUCUUGACAUUUAUUUUAUUUAUAAUUUUUGGUGAUUAUCUUUUGUAAUUAUUAAUAAUGUUUGAUUGGGGUGAUUAGGAAAUUAGAAUAACUUUUCUUUUUUUAUCAAAAAUUAUUGUUUUAAUGAUCCAUUUUAUUGAUUAUAAGAUUAAGUUACCUUAGGGAUAACAGCGUAAUUUCUUCGGAGAGUUCAUAUCGAUGAAGAAGCUUGCGACCUCGAUGUUGGAUUAAAGUAAGUCUUGAAUGUAGAAGUUCAUUAACUAAGUCUGUUCGACUUUUAAAUUUUUACAUGAUCUGAGUUCAAACCGGAG
rnacentral:rRNA from 1 species